rnacentral:lncRNA from 1 species
GAGGUCAGUCUGGCCCUCACCCACAAAGAAAGCAACAGUCUCGGGCCCUCAGAGACCCCACCCCACCCACAUCUACCUACACCCACCCAGGACUCUAGCUGGGGCCUCGGGGCAGAAGUUCUUCCUAGGGUGUCACCUCCAGACACACUGCUGCGGCGGGAGGAUGCGUUUCUAAUAAUUUUGGCCAGAAACAAGAGGAGUCCUGUCCGAGGAGAGCCCGGCUGGCUGACUGGAAUCCCAAGACAUGCCAAGGUCCCUGGGAAAUGACAGGACACCCAGAUCUGCUGGGAGCAGAGUUCUCAUAGGGUCCCAGCUGAGCCCUGGAACUCCCCAGACCCCCUCUGCCACUCCAUCUCUGCGUCAGCCCAGCACCUGUGCCCUAUCCGGCUUUGGCCACCAUCUCCACCCUGGGGAGGGGGAGCAUAACCCCCUCCAGCCUGAGGUUGGCGCCAAGGUUUAGGAGCCAGCACAGAAGCCUCUGAGAGCCAUAAGGGUAGAAAAGGUUACCCGGUACUAAACCAGCCAGCCUCGGGGUGAUCUCAUCCACUUCCCAAGAUAAGCCCCCUCCCCCACCCUCUGGCCACUGGCCAACAGGGUAAGUCACGAGGGAGCUGGUGGAAGAGUGUGUGUGAGGGCUGGGGGAAGGAUUUCAACUUGGGGUCACACUGUACAUUCUGUUUUGUGAUCAAUUCCCCCCAACAUUUACAGUAUUGACAAUUAGCAGUUUCCUGUCAGAUAAACUAUAAAGAUCUUCCCCCAUCA